GAUGAAGAACGCAGCGAAAUGCGAUAAGUAAUGUGAAUUGCAGAAUUCAGUGAAUCAUCGAAUCUUUGAACGCACAUUGCGCCCGCCAGUAUUCUGGCGGGCAUGCCUGUCUGAGCGUCAUUUCAACCCUCAUGCCCCUAGGGCGUGGUGUUGGGGAUCGGCCAAAGCCCGCGAGGGACGGCCGGCCCCUAAAUCUAGUGGCGGACCCGUCGUGGCCUCCUCUGCGAAGUAGUGAUAUUCCGCAUCGGAGAGCGAUGAGCCCCUGCCGUUAAACCCCCAACUUUCCAAGGUUGACCUCAGAUCAGGUAGGAGUACCCGCUGAACUUAAGCAUAUCAAUAAGGGAGGA
rnacentral:misc_RNA from 1 species